UACGUAGGGCGCGAGCGUUAAUCGGAAUUACUGGGCGUAAAGCGUGCGCAGGCGGUGAUGUAAGACCGAUGUGAAAUCCCCCAGGCUUAACCUGGGAACUGCAUUCGAGACUGCAUUGCUAGAGUAUGGGAGAGGGAAGUGGAAUUUCCGGUGUAGCGGUGAAAUGCGUAGAUAUCGGAAGGAACAUCAGUGGCGAAAGCGACUUCCUGGACCAAUACUGACGCUCAUGUGCGAAAGCGUGGGGAGCAAACAGG
rnacentral:rRNA from 1 species